AAUAACUAAAAUAUGGGCAUUCAAUCAAUUUGGGGCUUGCAUUUUACACUUCUACAGUUCUACUGUCAAACACAGAAAGUUAGAAAUCAGACACCAAAUUGUAUUAGCAAAAACAUGGAAUCAUUAGUAAUCCAUUUCUCAUCAUUCCUUGUAAUCUUCCCAAUUGGUAUUACACGCCUUAUUUCUUGUCUAUCUCUGUAUCUCAAAAACCCAUCUCACUACAGAUCGAAAUCUUGGUAUUUCUCUGAAUCCAGAUGGAAAAGUUUUGAUUUUUACAUUCUUUUAAUUGGCCUACCCAUUUCCUCAGUUUUCAUUUUUUCACUCUUUUUGGUGAUUUCUGGCCACCCCAGUUACAAAUUUGCAUUUUUGCAACAAUCUUUAGUAAUUUUGUUCUUCUGGGUACUCCUCAUUUUGAUUUUCUUGAAGGAAAGUUAUAAACUUGCCUUGAUUCCUGAGAAUUUUUUGUAUGUGUAUGCUGGGGUUGCAUUUCUUAUUGAGUGUAUGAUGACUGGAGAAGCGGUUGUUGGUUAUGGUGAGGCUAUGUAUGGUUGGUUAGGUGGUUUGGGUUUUGUUUGUGCAGCUUGUUGCUUGUUUCUUUCGAUUAGGCCUUCUGCGUUUUUCGCGGAGUUUUUGUUAUGUUUUGGGAUGAUAUUGAAGGGGACUUGGGUUCUACAAGUUGGGUUGUCAUUGUAUACUGAUACAUUUUUGUUUAGUGGGUGUGAGAGACUUCCAUUUGACGUUGCCAAUGGGAGGAAUUUUAUCAAGUGUGAGCUUGAUGAGUAUAAAUAUCGCAGUGAAGCUUUGGUGAAUCUCAUGUUUAUCGGGCAUGUGAUUGUAGUGCUGAUCAUAAGUUUUCUGUUGUCAGGAUUAUUGAGUCAUUUUCAUAAUAGAAAGUCUUUUCAGUCUAGUGGGCAAUUGCUAGCAGGGUUUGAUGCUGAGAACUCUGUGGUCCGCCCAGUUACUGAAUUCGAGUUAGAUUGAGACAGAUGUUUUUUGUUCUAUUGAGCUACAAAGAUACGAGGUUAUGGCUCUAUUACUGAAUUGUAUCUUAAUAUUGUCAAUAACAUACAAGUAUCUACACAUUGAUAGACUUGAUUCUUACUAUUUUUCCUGACAAUGCUUUGUUAACAUGCAGAAACGUUGUUUCACGUUUUUAUGAUGAUAGGCAACUGUUCCCUUUUAAUAUCAUUAGUAUGUGAUUCAUAUAGGCCUCAAUGCAUGUUAAAUAUGUUUUUUCAUAUGACCGAUGUUUCAAAUCAUGUACUGUUGCAAAGCUGUAGAUGAUUCAAAUUCAUGAGAUACCAUAAACAUGUAGACGAGAUCUCCCUCUUUUUGAUGUUAUGCAAGAAAUAGACUACGUAUGCCAUUUGCAUCAUUUUUUAUAUGCGGGGUAGUCCAGAAGAAGCUAAAAACUUUCAGGAAAAACCCGAACACUUUAAUCUAUUGGUUGUGGUGAAUCCUUCAGUCAUCCAAUACAAAUAUUUUUUUGGUCAAAUUUAUCUAUAUCAGGGAAAUUGCAUAUUUCAACUUGAUAAUGUGAUGUCUUAUUACUGCAAGAAAUCCUCUAUUCAUUAAAGAAAAAUCAUAUGCUAGAUCAUUAUCUUGCAGUACUUUAUUUUGGGUUUUAUGUUUUGUUACAUAAUGAAAUUAAGGAAUGUCAUAGAGUUAUCUGUGAAAUUGACUCAAUCCAUGUAUGUUGACUUGUUGAGUGUUGGGGGGGUAUGCUUGAUCUUAUUUGCGUCCUAAAGAUGUUGAAUUUUAGGGUCAAGGCCAGUAAGAACCCAGUUACCCAGCAAUGGUUUAUGCUCCCAGGCACUAAGUUCUUUCUGUUACAUAUUAAAAUGGUGUUUUGUCUUGUCUAAGACAUAAUGUGGCAUACUUGGAUCUUUUUCUAUCAUAUCUUCUUUUUUUUUUUUGGAAGGACUCUAAUUAAGAUCAUAAUUCAUAAAGGAAGGUAAUAGAAAACAUUACAUGCUGGAACUUGCUGACUCAUGGAGAAUUCACAAGGUUCAGUCCACCUUGUCCAGUUUCUUGCCUACAACAUGCAGUGAUGAUAUUUUAGCAAACUGUUGAGUUACCCUCUCUCCUAAAACUUAAAGUGUUUAGGUUAUGGGCCUACUCUGAAUUCUGAUUAUUCCAGAUACUCCAACAUCUAAAGUCUAAACAUCUGUUGUACUUUUCUGUUUUUACUAAUUUUUUGGUUUUAGUUUCUUAACGACUUAACGUGAAACAAAAUUUGUUUAUAAUAAUUGACACCAAAGUGUAGUAUAUAAUAUUCAUUAUUGUUCGUGCAUAAUGUUCGAUGUGGUGAAUAGAGUUCAUACUAAAAUAUACACCUUCCAUGGGUGAUCAAUUCUUCAAUUUGCUCUCAUUUUUCCAUGGUGGUGAAAUGUGUGACUUGCAGCAAGGAGGUACCUUAGUAAUGGCUUUUGACCUGCAAAUACCUAUGAGUUCCUAAAUGAAAGAUAAAGAUAUAGUCAUCUGAAGGUGUUUCCUGUUAUUUCAUUAAUGUGCUUUUCGAGCUUGUUGUUGCUAUGAUACUCAUCUUGCGCAACACUAAAGAAGUAUGUUCUGCAUAUCACAAGGGAUUUGAAGACAGAAGAGAGAUAGCUGUUCCACUUCCUGGUAAUGCAGCCACUAACACUUUGGCUGCUCUUAGAAACAGAACUUUACUGUCCCCACCACUCACUGUUGGGAUCGACACUGGAAUUGAAGUGGAUACCCUUUGUCUGCCAAACAGAAGGACGUAAAAUCCCUUUUACCGUUUAUGUAAGUUGAGCGCAUAUCGCUUGCCUGGUCAUUUUAAGGUUUAAUUGCUUUAUUUGUUUGGUUAAAGAUGAUUGCCUAUCUGGAGACGGAAAUAGAAGAAUUAGCAUUUGCAUUCCACCAGAAUCUGUCAUAAAAAUAUUUGAUUUUGUUACAGUGGCUGCCUGAUUGUUUAA